GACACCACAGCUCAUGGCGACGCCAGAUCCUUAACCCACUGAGCAAGGCCAAGGAUGGAACCCGCAUCCUCAUGGAUACUAGUUGGGCUUGUUACCACCGACUUGAGCCACAUCAGGAACUUGAUGAGGAUUUUAACUCUAAGUAAAUAUUGUUCAGUAUGCAGUUAAGUGCGACUGUUAGGUCGACAUUUCUUAUACAAGUUUUUUUUUUUUUUUUUCUUGGAGUUAAAAUUUGCCCAUAUCAUUACUUAGUUAUCUUUGGUGCUCUAAGUUGUCCUACAUCUUCCAAAACCUCUCUGAAAUACCUCUAAUAUGGCAUUUUGAUAGGUGAAACAUAUUUCUAUAUUUUUAUUUUUCCUGGGGAAUCUCUUCUCUGGCUCUUCUUUGUCCUCCUGCUCCAACAUGGACUGGUUGGUUCCUUGGCCUGUUACAUAGCUCUCUGGGGGCUUCCCUGUGCCCUUACACCAAGAAUAACCUAUCCUUCUAAGUUGAACCCAAUUUCCUGAAUUCCAUGUUUUUCUUUUACCUGGUUUAUAUUCUCGUUUUAGUUAAACGUAUUCUCCAGCAAGUAUCCUGAGAGAAGACUUGGAAGGUGGGAUUUCCUGAAAUCUUGUAUUCUAAAAUUUCUUUAUUCUAACCUUCCACUUAACAAUUUGAAAUCAUGUUUUUGUUUCCAAGGUGUUCUUUUGUUGGCUACUAGCACUCAGCCUGCUACUAAAGUCCAAUGCCAUUUUGAUUCUUGAUUUUUAGUUGUGACCCGUUUUUCCUCUUUGGAAGCUUUUAGCUGCUGUUUUUCUUGCUGUUGUUUUAAACAUUUAUAAUGUUUCUUAGUAUGGGUUAUUUUUCCCUGUUGCAUGUUUUGGAAAUUUGUUUAUUCCCUUCAGUUCUGGGAAGUAUUCUUAUAUUAUUUCUUUGGUGAUUUCUUCCCCUUAGGUUUGCCUUACUACUUUUUGAAACUUUCCUACUAGUGAGAAUAUUAGACUAUUUCAUGUUCUUAUCCUUUCUGAUAGCAUCUUGUUCUUGUUUCACUGAUGUAGUAUUUUCCUUAUUACUCUUAGACUUUAAAUAUUUAUUUUUUGAAAUUUUAUUUCCUCUCUAUGCUACUUAUUCCUUUCAGUUUUCUACUUUUUUGUUUCUGCCUUUCGUAUCAGAGGAUUUUCUCAAGAGUUUGCAAAUUUUGGCUAUUUUUUCAGCACUGAUUAUUGAUUGUUGGACUUGACUAUGCCUUAAAGGAUAAGGUGGAUUUUGUUGUGUUCCACCCCAACCCCCAAAUAAGUCUACAAGUCUUUCUUCUGGGGAUAUUCAUUUUCUCCAAAGAAGGGUGCUUUAAUCCUCUGGUUAGUGGUCCUUAGGAAUCAAAGAUUGGGGGUGACAACCUUUAUGUACGUAGUGUCCCUAAAGAAGGAAUUCCUCCAAAUUUCUUCAGAAACUCUAUGUUCUCUCUUCCUUGGAGGCGAGUGGUGGCGGUGGCGGCAGUGGGCCUGGUGGAGGAGAGAGGGGUGGGAAAGAGGACCAUCAUCUGAUAACAGAGGCUAGAGCUGGGAAACUGGAAGGGUGAGCUUUACCUGCUGCUUACACCAAUUUUACAACAAUCCCCAUCGGUGCAACUUUCAGAAUAUCCGAAAUCCAACUUCUCCCACCUCCACUGCUACCAGCAUUCUAACCUGAUCAUUGUAAUCACUUCCUAGCGGGUCUUCUCUCUCUAGCCAUGAAUUGGCUGGAAUGCUAAAUUCUACUACUAACAAACUCUGAAACCUCUGAAUUUAACCACAAUUUAUUUCUUGCUCUCAUAGAGUCUAUUGUAGAUCAGUAAAGGCUCUCCUUCACUGAUGAUACAGGGAUCAGGCUCGCUAUAUUCUAUCACACGACCUUCUUAGCACAUGGUUUCUAAAGUUACAAGAGCAGGAAAAGAGCAGGGAGGAAGCCCAACAGAUAUUAAUGCCUCAGCAAUGAUUUCCAUUCAUGUUUUAUUGGCUGGAACUAAUUGCAUGGUGCCAACCACCAGGCAUGAGAAUGCUAUCUUCUGAGUGCUCAGGAGGAAGACAACCAGACAUGAGUGAGCACUGACAAUCUUAGGCCUCAAGCCCUCUCUCGCACCAUUUUUCUCAAUUGAAAAAUCAGAGGGAGCCUUACAAAAAUGUCAAACAUUUCACACCACUCCUGCUCUUCCAAAUAUCCACACAAUCCCUAACUUUAUCUUUCAAAUAUGAGCUUCACAAGGAGAAUCACUUACCAGUCUAUCUAAAUUGUCCCCCACUCCCCACAUUUUCCAUUCCCUGUUUUGUUUUCCAAAGCACACUUCAAAUUUUACUUUUGCUUGCAUCCUCUAAAAUGUGAGCUUCUUAAGGGUAGGGUUUUUACUUUUUUAUCCCAACACUUUGAAUCUCCCUUGGUUUUUGGCCCUGUGACUCAUCUCUGCCUUUGUGUACAAGGUGUCUACAAUUCCUUAGCUUGUCUGGGGUCUGUGUGGGUUUAGCAUCCUGCUUCUCAGGGAUGGGCUUCUUCCUCAGCGAAUAUUUAGAUUUGACCUUCUUUCAUUAAGGCAUUUGCUGUUCCUCUACUGCUCUCUCUUCACUACAGUUUGAAGUUUUCAGGGCUCUUAGUUACACUGUAGUUGGAAUUUUCAGUUUCUUGUUCAUUUUGGGGGUGAUUUUCAAGAGGAAGAGGUAGAUAGGACUUAACCAUCUUGAAACUAGAUAAAGUAUUAUUUUUGAAAUGAUAGAUUCAUAUAGUUAGUAUCUUUUCCAGAUCUUCAUUUUGUAACACCCUAGGAAAUAACUCCUUGACUCUUAAGGUUUUUGUUUGUUUUCCAGUGAUGGAACUAUAGUAUAGUGUGUAGAUGUACUUUGUUUGGUAGAAGAUUUUUUUUUGGGGGGGGGAGGAUUACUAGGAAGUUGAACUUGUAUUUGGUGAGUAGGUUAUUUGACAAAAUCUGAACAUUUGUUUGUUUGGCUCCCCCACAGCCCAGGCCAGGGAUUGAACCUGCAGUGACCCAGGCCACAGCAGUGCUAACACCAGAUCUUUAACUUACUCCAAAUCUGAGUGUUUUUUUUUUUUUUUUGUCUUUUUGCCAUUUCUUGGGCCGCUCCCGCGGCAUAUGGAGGUUCCCAGGCUAGGGAUCGAAUCGGAGCUGUAGCUGCCAGCCUACGCCAGAGCCACAGCAACGCGGGAUCCGAGCCGAGUCUGCAACCUACACCACAGCUCAUGGCAAUGCCGGAUCGUUAACCCACUGAGCAAGGGCAGGGACCGAACCUGCAACCUCAUGGUUCCUAGUCGGAUUUGUUAACCACUGCGCCACGACGGGAACUCCCAAAUCUGAGUGUUUUAAGGCAAUUUGUGACAGCUAAAUAUUACCCAUUUGAAUUCUUUGUGCCCUAGAUGGUCCCUCCAUUUUUAAAGCCCAUGUCUAAGUGGAAAUAUUUAUAUUCCAGAAGUUAUUUUCCGGUAAAAUUUCUUGGGUUACCAAUUCUGCCCAUAAAUUUGACAGGUAAGCAUUUGAAUUUAAGUGUCCCUAAUAGGCCUCAAAACUGUCAAGUGACAGAGAAUUCUGAAAACAUUUUAAAAACAUUUAAAAAUGUUAUAAAGGCUAAUACCCAUGGUACAAUUGAAGGCUGGUCUAAAAAUAUUUAUAGGUUUGGGGGAAAGGAGAAGACUCCAUGAGCAAAAAAGUUUGGGUUCUACUCCAUUAAGCAAAAUUUGAUAUUUGAUGUAUUUUUGACUGCAGGAAUUCUCACAGCAUUUACUGCCAAUAGGACUCUGAAUUUCACAGAGAAGUCUAUGAAUCACAUGGACAGAGUAGUAGUGGUUACUGUGGAUUUUUGGUUUGGAUUUAUGGCUGAGGUUUGUCAUUUAAUAACUAUGUGAUCUUAGACAAGUAACCAUCUUAUUUGUAAAAUAAUUCUAGUGCUGUGUACUUAGGUAAAUUAGAUCAUGUAUACAAAAUACUUAACACAGUGUCUUCUGUGUAGGAAAUAUUUACUAUGGGGUGGCUUCACACACACAUUCUGCUAUUAAAUAGUGUUUCUGAAAAUAGUAUUUAACCUCACAAGAUAUCCUUUAUAAAUGGUAAAGAAUAUAUCUGAAUACAAAAUUGUGGAGUUCCUGUUGUGGCUCAGCAGAAACGAGUCUAACUAGGAUCCAUGAAGAUAUGGGUUAGAUCCCUGAUCUCACACAGUGGGUUAAGGAUCUGGCAUUGCUGUGAGCUGUGGUGUAGUUUGCAGAUAUGGCUCGGAUCUGGCUUUGUCGUGGUGCAGGCCAGUGGCUACAGCUCUGAUUUGCACCCUAGCCUGGGAACCUCCAUAUACCUCGGGUGUGGCCCUAAAAAGACAAAAAAAAAAAAAAAAAUUGUACUGUGGAAUCAUAGUGUAUUCAACUGCUAUCAUUUGCUUGUAAUGUCCAAAACCAAACCGGAGAGGCACAGUAGCCCCUCUAUCCACAGGAAGUAUGUUCUAAGACUGUCUGUGGGCGUUGGAAGCUGCAGAUACUGCUACGUGUACUAUGUUUUUUCCUAUACAUACUUACCUGUGAUGAAGUUUGUUUUAUAAAUUAGGCACUGUAAGAGAUUAACAACAAUGUAAAACAUAACAUUGAUAACAAUAUACUGUAAUAAAAGUUAUGUGAUAAUGGUCUCUCAAAUAUCUUAUUUUCCUGUACCCAUCCUUGUGAUGAUGGCAGAUGAUAAAAUGCCUACGUGAUAAGACGAAGUGACGUGAAUGACAUAGGCAUUGUAUCAUUAUGUUACUAUUGGUUUCUGACCACAUGUCAGAAGGAGGAUUGUCUGCUUCAGGUGAUCUUGGAUCCGUGAUCCAUGAUGACAUUCGUGGUUGGACGUCAGAAGCAGACGAUGUCAUGGUUGAGGAUCCUGAGCAGGAUGGAGCAGAACAGGGUGAGGUGUCAUCAUAUUACUCAGGUGAUUACACCCUUUAAAACUUAUGACUUGUUUAUUUUUAAUUUUCCAUUUAAUAUUUUUGGACUCUGGUUGAGCAGGGGUAACUGAAACCACAAAAAGCCAACCCGUGGAUGGGGGGGGGGGCUUCUGUAUAUGAAUAAUUAACUUUUUCUUUUUUAAGAAAAAAUUUUUGAAGUUUAAUACAGUAAAUACAGUCAAUUUUAUACUUGGCAGUGUACAGUUGCUUAAUUUUAACACAUAUAUAUGGUCAUGUAAUUACUACCACAAUCAAUAUAUAGAACAGUUCCAUCACACCCCGAAAUUCCCCCAUAUCCUUUUAUCAUCAAUCUGUCCCCACUCCUCAGCCCCCCAGAUACCAUUGGUCUGUUUUCUCUCGCUGUAGUUCUUACCUUUUCCAGAAUGCCGUGUAAAUGAAUCAUAUAAUAUGCACCCUUAUAAUUAACUUUGAAGUAUAAUUCAACCAGUUGGCUAAUUCAACGAACUGUGCUAUGGGAUGAAGAUAAUAUGAUCCAGGUGUGUUUUUUUGCACUUAACGUAACAAUGAGCACGAGAACGUAAAACACGAAGAGAAAGGACUUACUUGUCUGUCUCACCUACUUGGUGUCUCAGAUAAACUUCGUUCACUGUACAUCUCAGUGGCUCCUGGAACCUACUGAUGGUCUCGUUAAUUAAAAAGCAGCAUAUGCUGUGGGGCAGCGCAGUCUCAAGCAUUAACAUGCAUAUGGGUCACCUGGGGAUCUAGUUAAAAUGCAGAUUUUGAUUUGGGAGGGCUGUGAUGGAGCUAACUAGCUCCAGGUGAAGGCAUUGGUGCUCACCCACGAAUCACAGUGUGAGCGACUAGGCUGUCGAAAACAGGAUGAUUCUUCUGCGCAUGUGUACUGCUGGGGAACCCGGAUAGGAGGUAUCAGAGCCGAAGUCAGUUUGAACUGAAAAUUUAGCAGGCUCGACUCAACUGGAACGAGAGCUAUCCUCUGAGGUCAGCCUCAUGAGAUGCACAGGUGGGCCAUACGGUAGGAUCAUCGUUACUGAGCCCUAUCCAGUGGAAUGAGAGCAGAAAUGAUGUGUACCACUUAGAGGUUUGGCCCACGAAACCACCUGUGACACUUUCGAGAAUCCUCUUCGAUGGUUUGGAUCAAUCAAUUUCGUCAACUUGCUGUGCCUCCCUCCCUGAAUUGUGAAUUGCUUGCAAGAAGUAAUAUUGUGUUGUACUCUGUGAAUAGCAAUUAUUGGAAUUUAACAAGUACUUAAUGAAUGGAUAGAUAGUCUCAGCACGUAGAAGGCAAUCAUUAACUAUUUGGGUCAACAGCAAGUACUGAAUGAAAUUACAAAGGAUUACUGAGGACAUCUAAGUAUCUUUAUGCUGACAGAUGGAUGCUAGAGC